rnacentral:tRNA from 1 species
UUGUGGCAGAUAAUAUGCAAAGAUUUUAAGAGUCUUAGAAGAAUUUUUUUCCAA